rnacentral:tRNA from 1 species
GCACCCGUAGCUCAGCUGGAUAGAGCGCUGCCCUCCGAAGGCAGAGGUCAGAGGUUCGAAUCCUCUCGGGUGC